GCGAUGUCAAAAUUGUGGUGAAAAACUUAUAAUGUGAACUAGGCUUAAGGGAGCACUGUGUAGGAUUUAGUGGCACAUGCAGUGAGGACUGCAGAUUGCAAGUGGACGAAACAUCUCCCAUGUGUCAAGACUGAACUCUCGGUUAGAAUUCUGUCUGAGUUCAUUGUUCAGGAGGUUUUAUACUGAGCUAAAUUAUCCGCAGAGGUCUCCUCCAUAAUCAGGGUGAUUGGUGCCGGUUGCAUGUUUAAAAAUCGGUGUUUCUCCAAUGCUGCUCUUCAGAGAGGGGCUGCUAACUAACUUGGCCAAAAACGGAAAUGCAGGGUGCCCAAUCUAGAGCCAGUGUUUGGUGUGUCUGUCCUGGGCUACUGUGUAGAUAUAAACGGAUCAUUCUAAGGUAACGAAAACACAUUUGUUAUAUUAUAAUACAUUCCUACCAAUGUUUCCCCCUAAGUCCUACACACUGAACCUUUAAAGGGAAGAAGACACUAAAAAUGGUUCACACGUUUCUUAAAUCUUUUGCUUUUGGUCCUCGAAUUUCAUGCUUUUGUUUUCUGCUGCUUUAACGUUUGAUCCAUUUUUUUCAAGUACCAUCAGAAUAAAAGCAGGUCCCAGUGCCAAUUCAGUCAGUUUAAGUUUAGAGUAGAUUUAAAGUACAGAUUAAGGUUUUUGGCAGAUUUUAUCAUAGCAAUGGGCAGCUGUAGUUUCUUUUUGAUUCAUCUUAGGGUAUUGUCAUUCAUUUUUAACAUUAAACCCUGGACCCCAUGGCUGCACCAGUUGAUGAUGAGGAUAAUAGCCUUCUUCCAAAUAUUGUUUUAGCUGUAUUCAGCUGUUUCCAAUCCUUGGACCUCUUCCUGCCACCUUAUGUCAAAUCAGAAUUAUCACUGAAAGUCACCUCUGCGUCAGCGUGGAGGAUGUGUGAGUCAGUGACUCAGUCAGCGUCUUUCCAGUUGAGUAAAUAUUAGGGGACUUUUUCAAUAUGAAAAAAUGUUUUUAGUCAAAAUCAAACUGAACUGAAUGUGUCCAGAUGUUAAUCUAAAAUGAUAUUUUCAGAGGUACUUCACAGGGCUUUCCCCUGCUGAUUCUCAGACUUUGGACUAACAGUCUCAGCUCUUCUCACAGUGUAUUGGUGUUUAUUUACAGGUGUACUGUGCAGGAAUGUUUGGUUACUGUUUGUCAACACAUUGCUCAAACCUGUCCCCUCCUUCCUUUUGGAGCGAGCAUUGUCUGCUUGCUUUUUCAGCUCGCUAUAUUGAGUUUCUUCUGUGCUGUAUCUGCAAGAAUCUGCAAGAAAAUCCAGGCAGAGGGCAGAGUAUCUGCAGAUAAACACACUGUCACACACUACUUCUGUAAACUUGUGUACGAGUUUAUGUGUUGUGUUUUAGAAAAAUCCUGCAUAGUACAUGUUUUAAAAAGCACAAAGCCACGUGUUAAGACUCUGUCAUGCUACUACAGUAUGUUCUCCCCGAGGCCAGGUCCAAACAGGAACAAACAACCAUUCAUUUUUCCUUGUGUACACAUCUGGGAGAAAAUCACAUCCAGCCACAAACACACACUUUGUCUUCAUGAAUGAAUGAAUAACAUCAGGUUAUAUUUGGGUCCAUAUUUUUAAAUGCUUAAAUGAGAAAACUUUGCAGACAUUGCCAUCGUGUGUCAAUGUGCUGUUUUUUUCCUUGCAGUCAAAUAUAUGUCGCAGUAAUAGUGCAGCAGAAAGGUGGGAGAAGGAAAAGUAAAAAGGCAGAAUAGUCCUUAAACACCUGGCAGCAGGGGGAGGUGAGGAGACAAUCAGACACACCUGUGCUGCAGGUGGAGGAGGGAGCGGCAACAAUGGCUGCGUGGAGACGGAAACAAGAGACGAGUGAGCGUGCUAAAAACAACAGAUAUUUAAUUUUUAAAAAGAAUAACUAGUUUCUAUGCAUCCGAAAAGAAAGUUGUCAAGUCGUGAGGCAGCUGUUUGAAGAGGCGGCGGGACUUUGAGGACUCUCUGAGCAACACGUGCUGCUGAACGCUGACAUCACCGCAGCAGCUUACAGGAGUCCAGCUGUGUGUCAACAUGAAGCUGCAGCACACCAUCACCAGUCCAGCUUCAUACUGAAGACGCGCUGCAGACAGGAUCAGUCAAAGACGUCUCCGUCCUGUGAUGCUAUAAGGCGAGACUCCCCGUGAUGCAGAGUGAAGAAGACCUCUGGCUUCAGUCCUUUCUGCUCCAGGGCCUCUCUGAGACGGACCGGCGGCUCCAGGUAGUACUGGGUCACGGGAGGAAAGAGGACCAGAGACAGAGCGAGCGCGAAGGUUCCCCAGUGAAUGGCCACCGACUGUUUGGCCUGAAGGUCUUGGUGGAUCAGGACAGCCUCCUCUGGAUUUACAUGCUGCCCCUGCAUCAUGUCCCUGCAAAACCAAACAAUGUUUUUACAUGUUUGUCUGGCAAUGCAUGGUCUUUUAAAUGUUCAAUGCUAAUUAAUAGUACAUACAUGAUAAGAAUUUGAUCUGUACAGUAUUUAAAUUGUAAACAUUAAACGAACAAAUGUAA